UCGCUGCAUUACCCGUGUCUGCCCCCUUAACGAAUAGAUCCUUUCGAACACUUAUCGAGUCUUUACUGACAUAGAAUUUUUCCUAUACAGAUGUAACUAACACAACCGUCUUCGCUGUAGUAAGCUGACAUCGUCAAGUGCCAAACAGCCGUUGACGCAGCAGGGCUUCCAAUCUGACUAUCUAUAGGGUGUCCUAUUCAAAACUUUAGAGAUACGACGAUUGCUGUAGCGUUGCCGGCCGCCUUCCGGCGGCCGGAAAUUUAUCUCGCCUAACCUAACCUACGUAUAAAUCAAAUGUGUUUAAUUCCUUGAGAAUUAAUAAUACAAUAUAAAACAUAACGUAAUGUAACUAAAAAAAUGAAUUUUACAUGGUACACCCUAUAGAAACGGAAGAUAUUGCUAUGGUGUGAACGGCUAUUCGACACCACGAUGACGGUUGCUACAGCGAAGACGGCAGUGAAGUCGAAGAUCCCACUUUAUAUUUGGAGUCGUCUACCUGCUCCCAACCAACCCUCCAAAUUUCAUCUUGAUCGGCGACCGGUUGUAUUCGGAACUACAGCCAAUAUCUGUAACGGUUUUGGAGAAAAAGAAAAUAAAACCGGUCAAAAUUU